CUUACCAUGCAGUCGAACGGCAGCACGGACUUCGGUCUGGUGGCGAGUGGCGAACGGGUGAGUAAUGUAUCGGAACGUGCCUAGUAGCGGGGGAUAACUACGCGAAAGCGUAGCUAAUACCGCAUACGCCCUACGGGGGAAAGCAGGGGAUCGCAAGACCUUGCACUAUUAGAGCGGCCGAUAUCGGAUUAGCUAGUUGGUGGGGUAACGGCUCACCCAGGCGACGAUCCGUAGCUGGUUUGAGAGGACCACCACCCACACUGGGACUGAGACACGGCCCAAACUCCUACGGGAGGCAGCAGUGGGGAAUUUUGGACAAUGGGGGAACCCCUGAUCCAGCCAUCCCGCGAGGGCGAUGAACGCCUUCGGG
rnacentral:rRNA from 1 species